rnacentral:rRNA from 1 species
UUCCUACGGGGGGCUGCAGUGGGGAAUAUUGGACAAUGGGGGAAACCCUGAUCCAGCCAUGCCGCGUGAAUGAUGAAGGCCUUCGGGUUGUAAAGUUCUUUUGGUGGGGACGAUGAUGACGGUACCCACAGAAUAAGCUCCGGCUAACUUCGUGCCAGCAGCCGCGGUAAUACGAAGGGAGCUAGCGUUGUUCGGAAUUACUGGGCGUAAAGGGCGCGUAGGCGGUUUGGUCAGUCAGAUGUGAAAGCCCUGGGCUUAACCCGGGAACUGCGUUUGAUACUGCCAAGCUUGAAUUCGGGAGAGGUGAGUGGAAUUCCCAGUGUAGAGGUGAAAUUCGUAGAGAUUGGGAAGAACACUAGUGGCGAAGGCGGCUCACUGGACCGACAUUGACGCUGAGGCGCGAAAGCGUGGGGAGCAAACAGGAUUAGAUACCCGGGUAGUC